rnacentral:lncRNA from 1 species
UCCCCUGCCUCCGGACACCUUAGAAUAGAUUUGAUUGGAAGGAGGGUGAGGAACGAACACAGUGGUUUGACUGCUGGGAUCCCAAUCGGCCUGCAUCAGCGGAAAAUGGAACUAUCGAAUCACGGGUGACUCGCUUUAUCGGGAUGGGAAGAAUUGCAACAUCGGCAUUUCUUUCCUUCCCUAAAUCGAUCCACUAGUAGGUAGCGGUAGGAGAGAUCCAU